rnacentral:rRNA from 1 species
AUGAUGUGGACUACCCUGUUGAAGACAACGCGAUGGAUGAUUUGCUUAUCAUCGGAAAUGGAUGGGACCCAUGGUAGGACCACUUCUGAAGAUGAUCCUGAACAACAAUUGCUGAGAAGGGCAGUCCAAGGGAGAUUGGCACAAGGCGGUGCAAGCUGGGAACAAAAUGCAAAUGUUGGGAGUUUUUCAACCAUCAUAUCUGCCCGAGAUUCAGAUCUGGUUGGUAACAGGAUAUUUCAGACAUCAUGUCUGGAAAAGAAAUUUUGCAACACAAACCGACGGGAUGAUGUUGCGAAAUUCUCAGGAAAUGAACUACGAUAG